UUAAGUUCAGCGGGUAACUCCUACCUGAUCCGAGGUCAACCGUGGAAGAAUAGUGGAUGACCGACGCCCGCGGGUCCGUCCCGAGCGGGUGACAAAGCCCCAUACGCUCGAGGACCUGGGCGGAACGUCGCCGCUGCCUUUCGGACAGGUCCCCCACCGAUCGGGGGGGACCACGCCCAACACACAAGCCGCGCUUGAGG
rnacentral:misc_RNA from 1 species